rnacentral:rRNA from 1 species
AAACGGGGGGUGCAAGCGUUAUUCGGAUUUAUUGGGCGUAAAGGGCGCGUAGGCGGCUUGGUAAGUCAGAUGUGAAAGCCCGGGGCUCAACCCCGGAAGUGCAUUUGAAACUAUCAGGCUUGAGUAUGGGAGAGGGAAGUGGAAUUCCUGGUGUAGAGGUGAAAUUCGUAGAUAUCAGGAGGAACACCGGUGGCGAAGGCGACUUCCUGGACCAAUACUGACGCUGAGGCGCGAAGGCGUGGGGAGCAAACAGGAUUAGAAACCCGAGUAGUCC